AGAGUUCAGACCCUGGUGACCUACAGCAGUAGCAUGAGGUGACUAGAGUGCUGAGCUCUCC
rnacentral:pre_miRNA from 1 species